rnacentral:lncRNA from 1 species
AGGGAGUAAAGACAAAUGCGAAAUUCAGUCCAGAGUUCAGGGAUUCCAAAGCUCAUAGCCUAGAGCUUCUUAACCUUUAGGCGAGGUAGAGACAUUUAAAACAGCCCCUAAACUUGAGAAGCGCGUAGGCUCACGGGAAAUAGAGUCCGGUACUCGUCCUGCGACCAGCGGCGGGCCCUGGGAGGCGGACUUCCGGUGCACUCCUGUGCGUGUGCACUGUUCUCUGUGUGCAGGUUCGCGCAUGCGCUCCGCCGCCACACUGCCCUCGCUUCCGGUGCGUCCUCAGGUCACCGCUUGCUCUGGUUCCCAGGCUUUGGCCUCCAGUGGACGGGAAUCGCGGAGCUUGCGGGGCUGGACGCUGACCGCCAGGGCCCGGCCCGGGCCCGUCGGGAGCAGAACAGCCUUGGUGAGGUGGAGAGGAGGGAACCUCGCGAGCAGACGCGCGACAGCAGGCCCGCCCCGGCCUCUCGGGAGCCGUGGGGCAGAGGCUGCGGAGCCCCAGGCGGGUCUACCAGCCACAGUCUCUGCACGUUUCCAAGAGCAGCAGAAAAUGGAACCACAUUUGCAGUUGCAAAGCCUCAUUCCUUUUGUUCAGCUGCCCCCUAGUGACUCCGUGUGUGAAGAGUAUGGUCUGAGCUGUUCGGAUGCUCUGCAUAAUCUUUUUUAA